rnacentral:tRNA from 1 species
AGGAUUGUGGCUCAGUGGUAGAGCACUUGCCUAGGACACAUGUGGCACUGGGUUCAAUCCCCAGCACUACAU